GACGAAGGAUGCAAGCGUUAUCCGGAUUCAUUGGGUUUAAAGGGUGCGUAGGCGGACUGAUAAGUCAGUGGUGAAAUCUCUUUGCUUAACAAAGAAACUGCCAUUGAUACUGUCGGUCUAGAGUAUAGAUGACGUUGGCGGAAUAUGACAUGUAGUGGUGAAAUACUUAGAUAUGUCAUAGAACACCGAUUGCGAAGGCAGCUAACGAAACUAUAACUGACGCUGAGGCACGAAAGUGCGGGGAUCAAACAGGA
rnacentral:rRNA from 1 species